rnacentral:rRNA from 1 species
ACCACUUUGUGGUUCAUGACUGGGGUGAAGUCGUAACAAGGUAGCCCUAGGGGAACCUGGGGCUGGAUCACCUCCUUAUACGAAGAU